GUCGGGAGUUAGGAAUGCAGGUGCGUUAAUAGCGUUCUUGCUUGACUAAGGCUCCGGAGGAAGCCACGGCUAACUCUGUGCCAGCAGCCGCGGUAAUACAGAGGCGGCAAGCGUUGUUCGGAAUUAUUGGGCGUAAAGAGCACGUAGGCGGCUGUGUAAGUCGGUUGUGAAAGCCUUCCGCUCAACGGAAGAACGGCAUCCGAUACUGCAUGGCUUGAGUGUGGGAGGGGAGAGUGGAACUUCUGGU
rnacentral:rRNA from 1 species